AGUGAACGCUGGCGGUAGGCCUAACACAUGCAAGUCGAACGGCAGCACAGUAAGAGCUUGCUCUUACGGGUGGCGAGUGGCGGACGGGUGAGGAAUACAUCGGAAUCUACUUUUUCGUGGGGGAUAACGUAGGGAAACUUACGCUAAUACCGCAUACGACCUACGGGUGAAAGCAGGGGAUCUUCGGACCUUGCGCGAUUGAAUGAGCCGAUGUCGGAUUAGCUAGUUGGCGGGGCAAAGGCCCACCAAGGCGACGAUCCGUAGCUGGUCUGAGAGGAUGAUCAGCCACACUGGAACUGAGACACGGUCCAGACUCCUACGGGAGGCAGCAGUGGGGAAUAUUGGACAAUGGGCGCAAGCCUGAUCCAGCCAUACCGCGUGGGUGAAGAAGGCCUUCGGGUUGUAAAGCCCUUUUGUUGGGAAAGAAAAGCAGCAGGUUAAUACCCCGCUGUUCUGACGGUACCCAAAGGAUAAGCACCGGCUAACUUCGUG
rnacentral:rRNA from 1 species